UACGUAGGGCGCAAGCGUUAUCCGGAAUUAUUGGGCGUAAAGAGCUCGUAGGCGGUUUGUCGCGUCUGCCGUGAAAGUCCGGGGCUCAACUCCGGAUCUGCGGUGGGUACGGGCAGACUAGAGGUAGGUAGGGGAGAUCGGAAUUCCUGGUGUAGCGGUGAAAUGCGCAGAUAUCAGGAGGAACACCGGUGGCGAAGGCGGAUCUCUGGGCCUUACCUGACGCUGAGGCGCGAAAGCUAGGGGAGCAAACAGG
rnacentral:rRNA from 1 species